CCCUACGGGACGCAGCAGUGAGGAAUAUUGGUCAAUGGUCGGGAGACUGAACCAGCCAAGCCGCGUGAGGGAGGAAGGUACAGAGUAUCGUAAACCUCUUUUGUCAGGGAACAAAGACUGGGACGCGUCCCCGGAUGAGUGUACCUGAAGAAAAAGCAUCGGCUAACUCCGUGCCAGCAGCCGCGGUAAUACGGAGGAUGCGAGCGUUAUCCGGAUUUAUUGGGUUUACAGGGUGCGUAGGCGGAGUGUCAAGUCAGCGGUAAAAUUUCGGGGGUCAACCCCGUCGUGCCGUU
rnacentral:rRNA from 1 species